rnacentral:rRNA from 1 species
AUUGAACGCUGGCGGCAGGCCUAACACAUGCCAGUCGAACGGUAACAGGAAGAAGCUUGCUUCUUUGCUGACGAGUGGCGGACGGGUGAGUAAUGUCUGGGAAACUGCCUGAUGGAGGGGGAUAACUACUGGUAACGGUAGCUAAUACCGCAUAACGUCGCAAGACCAAAGAGGGGGACCUUCGGGCCUCUUGCCAUCGGAUGUGCCCAGAUGGGAUUAGCUAGUAGAUGGGGUAACGGCUCACCUAGGCGACGAUCCCUAGCUGGUCUGAGAGGAUGACCAGCCACACUGGAACUGAGACACGGUCCAGACUCCUACGGGAGGCAGCAGUGGGGAAUAUUGCACAAUGGGCGCAAGCCUGAUGCAGCCAUGCCGCGUGUAUGAAGAAGGCCUUCGGGUUGUAAAGUACUUUCAGCGGGGAGGAAGGGAGUAAAGUUAAUACCUUUGCUCAUUGACGUUACCCGCAGAAGAAGCACCGGCUAACUCCGUG